rnacentral:rRNA from 1 species
GACGAACGCUGGCGGCGUGCUUAACACAUGCAAGUCGAACGGUGAUGACAGGGCUUGCCUUGUCGGAUCAGUGGCGAACGGGUGAGUAACACGUGAGCAACCUGCCCCAGACUCUGGGAUAACCCCGGGAAACCGGAGCUAAUACCGGAUAUGACACCAACGGGCAUCCGUAUGGUGUGGAAAGUUUUUCGGUCUGGGAUGGGCUCGCGGCCUAUCAGCUUGUUGGUGAGGUAGUGGCUCACCAAGGCGACGACGGGUAGCCGGCCUGAGAGGGCGACCGGCCACACUGGGACUGAGACACGGCCCAGACUCCUACGGGAGGCAGCAGUGGGGAAUAUUGCACAAUGGGCGAAAGCCUGAUGCAGCGACGCCGCGUGAGGGAUGACGGCCUUCGGGUUGUAAACCUCUUUCAGCAGGGAAGAAGCGCAAGUGACGGUACCUGCAGAAGAAGCACCGGCUAACUACGUGCCAGCCGCCGCUGUAAAAC